GUUCUGAGCCGUACUCCAAUUCUGAACCGUACUGCAAUUUUAAGUGGUAACUUUCAAUGUUUUGUUGGUGUGUCUAAAUUGAGUGUUGGAUAUUCUUAGUUUUUAUUAUGUUGUUUUAUUGUUUUAUUUUAAAACACAUGUACAGAAUGGAUUCAAUUAGAUACCUCUCAGUGGACCCUACAAGGCCCAAGAGGAACAUUGCUCUAUAUGUACCACACACUAUCGAUUGAUUCUACCUAUUUUCUUACACCAAAAGCCCUAAAACCUCCAUUUCGUAGACCGCGCCUCCGUCUCCCUCUCUCAUUUCCCUCUCCCUCGUAAUCUCCCUCUCUUUCGAUCUCCCUCUCCCGAUCUCAACCCUCUCUCUCGAUAUCGAUCCAAAGAACUUGGUGACGUGUGUGGAUCUCGUUUCUCUAUGGUAGCUGCUCGUUUGGGCAAUUUUGUGCUUUCCCUUGCAAAAAUCGAGUUUCAUCAGCGAAACGUUGGAAAUGCAGUUGAAGUGAGUGGAUUUAGAAGAUUUUGGUGCUUGAUUUGAAGGUUUUUGCUCAACGUUUGAAGUUUUUAAAGUAAGUCGAUUGAAGAUUCUUGAAUUGGACUGCAAUGCAUUGAUCUUAUUCAUCUGAUCUACUUUUUAGCUUGAUUUACCAUUUCGAUUCUUAGCUUUGAAGGUUUUGAGCUUAUUCUUGUAGAAAUUGAGUGAUUCUGUUCUGUUAUGAUAUGAAAUUUGUUCAUUUAACGCGGUUGAAGCCGUUGAUUUUAUCAUAGGGUUUUGACUCUUUGAUUUGAAAGUUCUGAAGGUUCCUAUUAUAGAAGAUAGUGAGAUCUACUUAAGUUUUGAAGGUUCUUACUGUGGAAGAAAACAAA